ensembl:lncRNA
CUGGAAGGCGUCAUAUUGCGACGCUUCGUGGCAGUGGGGCACACUUGCGCUGACUCCAUUCAGUGACUUCAUGUUGUUAAAUAUUCCCUCUCUACUUCAGUGCAUGUUUACGCUCUGGGAGAAGUAGCACAGUCCCCCAUCGACACUGGUGGUGUCGUUAUGGCAGCACUGGUCUGGUUUGGUUUGCAAUCGGACUUCGACCGAGAAUUGCGUUCGUCUUGAGCAUUUUGCAGCGGUGUGUGUUUUUGUGAACGGGGCUAAGCAUACAGGGACAUGGAAGUGUUAUCGGGCUGUUUAGUUGAACGAACCACACGGAGCGCUGCAGAGGGAGAGAGAGAGGUCGAGAGAGUGACAGAGUGAGUGUGUGUGUGAGCGAGAGAGAUAGAGAUAGAGAGAGAGGGGAGAGCGAGAGAACGGGGGAACUAGCAAGCAGCAGCAGCAGCAGCAGCUGCUACGAAGAGACACCAAAUGUGAUGCCUGAGGUCUGAGGAGCGGAGAUAAAGUCUGACGAAGAAAAAAGGACGAGCUGCCAACGGUGGAGAGGGAUCUGGACUAUGGUUCUGCUCAGUGGAAUGUAGCGCCUUGCUGCCCUCAAAGCACGAUUCAGAGACCUGCUGACCGGCACCUCAUGCCAUCAUUGACAGCUGGGUCCAGCCCCCAUCUUCCUCCCCUAUCCCCC